AAUAUUUGACAAUGGGGGCAACCCUGAUCCAGCCAUGCCGCGUGCGUGAAGAUGGUCUUAGGAUUGUAAAGCCCCUUAAUUUGGGAGGAAGGGUUUACACCUAUUACGUGUGAACUUUGACGUUACCAAAAGAAUACGCACCGGCUAACUUCGUGCCAGACGCCGCGGUAAUACGAAGGGUGCAAGCGUUAAUCGGAAUUACUGGGCGUAAAGCGCGCGUAGGUGGUUCGUUAAGUUGGAAGUGAAAGCCCCGGGCUCAACCUGGGAAUUGCUUUCAAAACUGGCAAGCUAGAGUACGGUAGAGGGUGGUGGAAUUUCCUGUGUAGCGGUGAGAUGCGUAGAUAUAGGAAGGAACAUCAGUGGCGAAGGCGACCACCUGGACUGAUACUGACACUGAGGUGCGAAAGCGUGGGGAGCAAACAGG
rnacentral:rRNA from 1 species